AGUGAACGCUGGCGGUAGGCCUAACACAUGCAAGUCGAACGGCAGCACAGUAAGAGCUUGCUCUUACGGGUGGCGAGUGGCGGACGGGUGAGGAAUACAUCGGAAUCUACUUUUUCGUGGGGGAUAACGUAGGGAAACUUACGCUAAUACCGCAUACGACCUACGGGUGAAAGCAGGGGAUCUUCGGACCUUGCGCGAUUGAAUGAGCCGAUGUCGGAUUAGCUAGUUGGCGGGGUAAAGGCCCACCAAGGCGACGAUCCGUAGCUGGUCUGAGAGGAUGAUCAGCCGCACUGGAACUGAGACACGGUCCAGACUCCUACGGGAGGCAGCAGUGGGGAAUAUUGGACAAUGGGCGCAAGCCUGAUCCAGCCAUACCGCGUGGGUGAAGAAGGCCUUCGGGUUGUAAGGCCCUUUUGUUGGGAAAGAAAAGCAGCAGGUUAAUACCCCGCUGUUCUGACGGUACCCAAAGAAUAAGCACCGGCUAACUUCGUG
rnacentral:rRNA from 1 species